AACGAACGCUGGCGGCAUGCCUAACACAUGCAAGUCGAACGAGACCUUCGGGUCUAGUGGCGCACGGGUGCGUAACGCGUGGGAACCUGCCCUUAGGUUCGGAAUAACUCCCCGAAAGGGGUGCUAAUACCGGAUGAUGUCUUCGGACCAAAGAUUUAUCGCCUUUGGAUGGGCCCGCGUUGGAUUAGCUAGUUGGUAGGGUAAAAGCCUACCAAGGCGACGAUCCAUAGCUGGUCUGAGAGGAUGAUCAGCCACACUGGGACUGAGACACGGCCCAGACUCCUACGGGAGGCAGCAGUGGGGAAUAUUGGACAAUGGGCGAAAGCCUGAUCCAGCAAGGCCGCGUGAGUGAUGAAGGCCUUAGGGUUGUAAAGCUCUUUUACCCGGGAUGAUAAUGACAGUACCGGGAGAAUAAGCGCCGGCUAACUCCGU
rnacentral:rRNA from 1 species